UUAUUUUUAGCUCAUCUGGCCGAAAGGCCAAGUGAACUUUUCUCAUCACUUGGCGUCCGGCGUCCGUCGUCGUCCUGCGUUAACUUUUACAAAAAUCUUCUCCUCUGAAACUACUGGGCCAAAUUUAACCAAACUUGGCCACAAUCAUCAUUGGGGUAUCUAGUUUAAAAAAUGUGUCCGGUGACCCGGUCAACAAACCAAGA
rnacentral:lncRNA from 1 species